UACAGAGGGGGCAAGCGUUGUUCGGAAUUACUGGGCGUAAAGGGCGCGUAGGCGGCCUGUUAAGUCGGACGUGAAAUCCCUCGGCUCAACCGGGGAACUGCGUCCGAUACUGGCGGGCUUGAAUUCGGGAGAGGGAUGUGGAAUUCCCGGUGUAGCGGUGAAAUGCGCAGAUAUCGGGAGGAACACCAAUGGCGAAGGCAGCUCGCUGGGACGUUACUGACGCUGAGACGCGAAAGCGUGGGGAGCAAACAGG
rnacentral:rRNA from 1 species